rnacentral:ncRNA from 1 species
AGGGGGGCUGGCGCACGCCGGCUGAGAUUGGGCCCAGGAGACCGAGGGUGGUCGGGCGGCCCUGACCCGUAACCUGAUCCGGGUAAUGCCGGCGUAGGGA